rnacentral:lncRNA from 1 species
AUCAAUUGAAUUAAAUAUACAAAUUGUACUGAGUUAACACUAUAACGAAAAUAGUGUGUAGCGACACUUUUAAAUGUCGGUACAGAUAAAAAAAAUGUUGCUGGCUAAAUUACCGACACUUUUAAAAAGUGUUUCUAUAUAUGAAAUCGCUAGGUAUAUAGUGACAGUUUAAGAAUGUCGAUAUAACCUAAAAAAAGUGCUACUAAUUUACAAACACUUAUUUGAGUAUUUAGCAAUUAUCGGAACUCUACAUCGUUGGCUGUUAUUGCGGAGGAGGAGGAGGAGAGCAAAGGGCUCUUCGUCUAAGGUUUCAGUGCAUUGAGUGAUGGGGAAAGGGAAGAUGAUGAUCUAUUAUUUUUUUUGUUCUUUUUUUAUUUAUAAUCGGGCUGAAUGGGCUGGGUGGGAUGGGUUGAGUAGAGAAUCUUUUAUUUUCAAUUGGAUUGAGUUUUAUAUUUAGGCCUUAGUAAAUUUUUAAAAAAGUUUUGAUAUAAAUACGACACUUACAUAAAAGUGUUCUAAAUAUGUUCCUAUAAUCUAAUUCUUUUGUAGUGUAAUAUGGUGCUUUAUAUCUUACCUGAC